AUACUUACCUGGCAGGAGAGAGACCAUGAUCAUGAAGGUGGUUCUCCCAGGACGAGGCUAGCCCAUUGCACUUCGGGUGUGCUGAUGCCUGCAAUGUCCCCCCACAUGUGGGAUACUCGAUUGCAAAAUUUAUGGUAGUGGGGGAUUGCGUUCACGCUCUCCCCUG